CAGCAGCAAAAUUUAUAUAAAGGGUAUAUAAAUGUGAGGCUAAUUUACAUAGAGCAGGAGAUAAGGAAAAUAAUGCAUCAGGAUCCAAAGUUUUACUGUCUCUCCUUUCCAAAAGAGACACCUGUUCCACACAGCCUACAAGCGUGACUGACAUUGGUGUGGCUAUUGCCCAUCCCUCCAGGGAAUCUCCCUGGGAGCUGAGUCCAUCUGACCACUGCUUCGUGCUUGGCUGAGCAGCAGCACUGGGGUCCAUGACACAUUCAGACAUGCCCCAAGUACAGCGUGAGCAGCACACGUCCAUUUCCGAUGGUGAAGCAGCUUUUCUGCAUAAAGAGGACAUGGUGUUUCCAGUGGAGGAUGCAUUCUCUGAUUGUGUAUUAGUGGUCAGAUGCUGAGCUGGUGAACUCCUUUCCUCACAGGUAGAAAGAACUCUUGUGCAAGUCAAAAGCAGGGAACUUUGCAAUACCACCACCUGCCUUCUUCUACUGCUGCUGUUAGGUGCCUGAACUCCCUGGUUGCAUGGUUGUGACACUCCUGGGCACCUUGCAUGUGAUGUGACCAGCACCUCAGCCACCGAGACACACCACCAAGAGAGCCCGAGCUUCAACCCUGUGCUGUUUUUCUCCCUCUCCAAUGCCUACACAAUUAUGUGGAAGGCCCAGGCUACACAAACAAGACUUUGCAGUGUGUGUCAAAUCCUGCCUCCCAGAGCAAUCUUUUUGGCUUUGUCUCUCCAGAGCUUUUUGAUCAAAUUUACCAUUUCCCUAAGGAUGACAAGACUUCAGAGUUAGUUACAUCAGUAAAAGAAGAAAGAAGGAACCAGCCUAUCGCUAUUCCCUUGGUCCAAGACUCUGCAUCCUGGAUCACCUCUGCUUUCCCAUUUGGAGUCCAUACUCCCUCACUGCAGAAACAGGGAUUUGCAAGCAGAACUGAUCAAAGGAAGGAAAGGGGGAAGAAAAGCUGUGGGGCUGGUGCCUGUGGGCUGGAGCUCCUCAGUUGCCCAGAGAAGCAGCGGGUGGAAAGAGUAGAGGAAAGAGGCUUCCUGUAGGAAAAGAAAGAGCCUGCUUGGAUUACAGGCAAAAAUCUGGAAGGAUUUUUUUUUUAAGAGGAUUUCAGUGGUUACAACUUGUUACCUGAGCAAUGGUUAGUGGUAGCUGAUGGAGACCCUAGAAACAACACAACACCUUAUUUUCUGCUGCCUAUGAUCACAGUGUCCAGCUGUUAUUUUCAUCCUCCAAAGUAGCAUGAUGUACAAUUCCAUUCAGAUUUCCAUUUCCUUUUUUCACCAGAUAUGUCACCUUUUCUGUUUUCCCUAUAAAUACAUAAAUGUAAGACUUCUCUCCCUUCUUACUGCUAAACUUCUCAACUAAUGUCAAGAGGCAGGAGUCAGUGAAGAGUUUAUUAAGCAGACUUCUCCGUAGGAUCAGUUUUGCAGUUAUGCAUAAUACAACUUCACUUCUUUUAUUUUUCCUUAAGUAAAAAGUAGGGAAAGGGAGUUAUUUUAAAUUUAUGAGCUGAUGAGACAGUGAGUAAUGGUGAAUCACUGUUUAAUAUUUUAGGCAACCAUCUGCAAGGUGAGCUGUACUCCCAUCUCAUAUUGCUAGAACAAAGAAGUCACCUCAAGUUUCACAAACAGCAUCAGUCUCGCAUCAACCCCAAAAGGCAGUAUUCAGCACCAAAAGCAAGCAUCCUCCACCUAGGCAUCUUACUCAAACAGUCUUAAAACACAGGAGGAAAAGAAGCAAAACUACGAUCCAGGGGAGGUUCAGGACGGGUAUUAGGAAGCAUCUCUGCUCAGAAAGAGCGGUGAUGCAGUGGCACGGGCUGCCCAGGGAGGUGGUGCAGUCACUGUCCCUGGAGGUGUUCAGGAGCUGUGGAGAUGUGGCACUGAGGGACGUGGUUAAUGGGCAUGGUGGGGUGGGCUGGGGGUUGGACUAGAUAACCUGAGAGAUCUUUUCCAACCUUAAUGAUUCUAUGGUUCUAUAUUCUGCUUCUCCCACAAAGCACUAUCCAAAUACUCUGAAAUCCCACAUAGCUCAGGAAAACUUCUGUUAUAUCUGCCAUUUCCGUAUUUCCCCCUCCUCCUGCUCCCAGUGCUGGUAUGCACAUCAGUCUCCUGGUCAUUUUUGCUUUCAUGACAGCAUCGUCUCUCCAGAGUGGCCACAUAACCUGUGCCAAACACUCCUGCUGCCAUGUGGCAAGGCUACCUUUACCAUGUGUUAGCAGCAAAAUGCAAGCACAGCCUCUAGGCACAGCCGGGAAGCCUGUCUUUCUCCAAGGGCAUUUUCAAGUUUCCUUCCUUGAUUAAUGCAUGUUAAGGCUGACUAAUUUCAUAACUUCCAUCCCUGUAGCUGUUCUACAGCAGGGGAAAAUGCAAUUUCCUCUUAGUUGGCAAGUGUCACAACAGCUUUGUG
ensembl:lncRNA